CAAGCCUUCAAGCGUUCUGUUCAUCAAAUUUCAAAAGCGUUUAAGAAACAGGUAAAAAGCGUUUAAGCAGAUAUAAAGCGUUUAAGAAACAUAUAAAGAAGGUGUUUAAGAAACAUAUCUGUUUCUUAAACAUAUCUUUUGUUUUCUUUUAUCUGUCCCGAGGAAGGUUUUUACCGAUUUACUCCUG
rnacentral:misc_RNA from 1 species